rnacentral:lncRNA from 1 species
GAGUUUCAUUUCAGGGAAAAAUUUCUCUGUUCUGAGAUGCAGUUGGAAAGACUGAACUUUAAGUCAAUCUAAAGAACACAGAGAAAUAGAAUACUUAAUAUUGAAAACACUGAAAAUAAUGAGAACAGGAGAAGAAACUGGCUGCUUCAGAGCCAUAUUAGUAGUGUAGCAGAAAAUGAUGGGUGGAAUCUUUAAAGCUCAUGAAUAAAUUUGGAGCACAGUUUUCCGAAAAAUAGAAUGUCUGACUCCUCCUAUAAGGUAAACCUGAGAAACUUUGAGUAGUUCAUGUAUCCUAACUCAUAACAUCUGAUUUUUGUUCCAAGAUUCUGUAAGGCAUAACUAGAUAGACAUACGUUUAGCUUUUUGGAGGUCUCACUAUCUUUAUCUCUCAAAACUUCAAUACAGAUGCAACUCUUACUUCAGUAGUUUUCUUUUAGGAAUGCCAAUAAAAGCACUUCACCAAAAUGGAUAUUACUUUUUUUUUCUGUUCAUCAUCAGUCUAAACCUAUUUUUGUGGAAAUAACCCAAAUAUAAUCCUGCUUCAUUCUCAUUCUUUUCAGAUUUUUUUUUGAUAAAAUUAUACUGCUGUAUCUUUGGAUGAUUCCAGCUAAUUUCAGCUGUGGUAGAGAUUUUCUUGCAAAGGCAUUUCAUUUACAUCUCAGUUCUGUUUGCAGUCUCAACAAAGCUGUUAUAAGUCCUACAAAAAAAAGCAGAAAUAACAUCCUCUUGAAGCAAUUGGUUGGCCAGUCAUACUUCUGAGUGCAAAUCUUCCAAAGGAGCUGCAGGUCACAGGAUGCAGGAAAGCAGUUGCACACAGAAAAAUUGUUUUCUUGGGCUAUCGUUUACCUUUUAAUCCUCUUAUUCUUUUCUCUGCAGAAUAAAAUGUUGUGGUAGUUUAGGUUGUUGUUGUAU